GUGCUCACUUUGGCAGCACGUAUGCUAAAUUAGAAUGAUCUAGGGAAGAUUAGUAUGGCCCCUGUGCAGGGAUGACAUACAAAUUUGUGAAGCAUUCCAUAUUUAA
ensembl:snRNA U6 U6 spliceosomal RNA